rnacentral:lncRNA from 1 species
GCUAGCAGGAAUUAGCAAUUCAGCAACACUUACAUUGUAAUCUGGCACAAAUAUUACCUACAAGAUAAAAAGGAGAGGCCUCUUCAGGUUGAAGGUGCAGAAAGCAAUCAUAUGAUGAAACAGAUCCAGAACUAUCACCGUCAAAAUUGCCGAGAAACUCUUCAGGUUGAAGGUGCAGCAAGCAAUCAUAUGAAACAGAUCCAGAACUAUCACCGUCAAAAUUGCCGAGAAGUCAACUAAAAAUAAAAUGGCUUUCAAAUGCACUAGAAAACAAUAGCCUGUAUCAAAUAAGCAAAAACUUCUAAGACAAUAAUCAAG